UAUCACGUUAAAACACCGGUUCACGUCCGAUCACCGAAGUUAAGCAAAGUCGUCGAUCCUGGUCAGUAUCUAUCUGGGCGACCGCUGGAGAAUACCAGGUGCUGCAAG